GUGCUCACUUCAGCAGCACAUAUACUAAAAUUGGAACAAUAUAAGGAUUAGCAUGGUCCCUGCACAAGGGUGACAUUCAAAUUCGUGAAAUGUUCCAUAUUUUU